CGGUUUCGUCCAGUUACAGGAGUGGCGCGCGACGAUCUCGCGAAAGGCAAGGAAGAUUCUUGCACGAGGGUUGAGGCCCCAAACUGGAACGAGUGAACGACAUUCUGGUAGCGCGCAAUGUGUUCGAUGAAAUGCCUCAUACACCAGAGGUUUCUUUUUGUGAAAUUUUAAAGCUCACAGAUUCAAUCUGGUUUCUCGGCGUGGUGGUAGUGUGGUACAGAAGAUAUAUUUGACAAGCAACUUUGCCCUGGUGCCUGGUGACGAAUUCUUCAGCGAAUGCGAGCGAUAAACUGAAGCUGUAGGUACUCUAUUUUCUGAAAAGUAGCAACAAUGAUGGUCGAUUUUUUCAUCAGUUUUGUCUGAAAUUGGUUGCAUUAUGUUUGCUAAGUCGCCAUUGAUGUUCACAUUGCCUUUAGGCUGAGGUUUCAGUUUGACCAGAGUUUUCGAUGUUCCUGACUUCUUAUUAUCUUGCAUGCCAACUUCUUCAUGCUGAAUGAUUCAUGUUUCCGAAGCAUCUUCAAGAAAAAAAAUAAUUGGGAAAUUUGCCUCAGUAGCACUCUUGGUGAAGAGGUUUGCUAACAUACCAUUCCAGCCAACUACCACAGCUCCUGCUCACCCUGUAGCCAACUGCCGCAGCUCGCCUUGCCACCCGACCGCCGCAGCUCCCCUUCCACCCGACGACGGCCACAGCUCCCCUUGAGUUCGACUGUCGCCACCAUCAUCACAGCUGUCGGGGACGGCGGCUCCCA